rfam:Oceanobacillus picturae, S1, WGS project CCAX01000000 data, contig: 000001
UACGUACAUAAGGCUUUUCAUAGGGCCUGGUUCAUGCCCUUUUUUAGGGGGUGAGAGAAUGACAGUAUUCGAAACUCUUAUGUUUUCUGUGGCAUUUGCCAGUUUGAUUGUCGCAGUGCUGUCUUUUAAUCAAAAAAAAUAACCACCCAUAGCCUAGCAAGCAAUUAGUGUGGUUAUUUUUUUCUUGCUCUAAUUUGUGAGCUGCCCCCUCGAAGGGCUACUGUGCUUAAAACCGUUUGGUGUUGAUAGCACCAAGC